GUGAACGCUGGCGGUAGGCCUAACACAUGCAAGUCGAACGGCAGCACAGUAAGAGCUUGCUCUUACGGGUGGCGAGUGGUGGACGGGUGAGGAAUACAUCGGAAUCUACUUUUUCGUGGGGGAUAACGUAGGGAAACUUACGCUAAUACCGCAUACGACCUGCGGGUGAAAGCAGGGGAUCUUCGGACCUUGCGCGAUUGAAUGAGCCGAUGUCGGAUUAGCUAGUUGGCGGGGUAAAGGCCCACCAAGGCGACGAUCCGUAGCUGGUCUGAGAGGAUGAUCAGCCACACUGGAACUGAGACACGGUCCAGACUCCUACGGGAGGCAGCAGUGGGGAAUAUUGGACAAUGGGCGCAAGCCUGAUCCAGCCAUACCGCGUGGGUGAAGAAGGCCUUCGGGUUGUAAAGCCCUUUUGUUGGGAAAGAAAAGCAGCAGGUUAAUACCCCGCUGUUCUGACGGUACCCAAAGAAUAAGCACCGGCUAACUUCGCG
rnacentral:rRNA from 1 species